CGGGAGCGGCCGCCCGACGUCGCCGGAGCCCGAACGGGCAUUCUCCUGCUGUCCGACCCCGGGGGCGGCUCCGGCCAAGCCCCGCGCCUUCGAAUGGAUGCGGAUGAAGCGGAGCACGCCCGGCAGAAGCGACGCGGCACCCCCCGCCUUCUCCCUGCGCACCAGUUUCAGCACCCGGCAGCUCACGGAGCUGGAGAAGGAGUUUCACUUCAGCCGCUACCUGUCGCGGGCCCGUCGCCUCGAGGUGGCCCGCUCGCUGCGCCUCCGCGACGCCCAGGUGAAGGUGUGGUUCCAGAAUCGCCGCAUGAAGCAGAAGAAGCGCGAGCGGGAGGCGCUGCCCGACCCCACCGCAGCGCCCCGCGCAGCCCCGGGCGACACCGCCUGAGCCCGUCGCCACGGCGCGCUGCGAGGAUGCCGCGAGCGGCUCCGCGCUCCUCUUCGUUCCGCCGCUGCUUUACUCCCUUUGUAUUGAUGAGGAUGAUCGGGGAGAGCUGUCGCUCCGAAGCGCCGCCGCUCAACUUCGUCGUUUUGCGAGGGGACGAAAGAGCCAGAGGAGAGCCUCGUAGAGCCGCACCGCGGGGUCGACUCGGAGCUGGGGGCGGGCAGGACCGCAGCCCCCGGCCUGGGCUCCCUAGGGCCGCCCCCAUCUGGGGCCAUAGCGCUGCCCCGCCGCCUCCCCGAGCCGUGUCCGGUGCCUCGGCCGGGUCGGGGAGCAGCGGGGUCCGGGCCCGCUCACAGCCGUCGGGGCGGGGGUGUCGGGCAGAGGAGGAGCAGAAACCCCAGCGGGGCAAAGCAGAACAGGACAAUGCUCCCCUCGCAAGAAAAGAGGCGAUGUAUACCAUUAGCAAGUGUAGCAGAAAUCCCUUUUUAGAAAAGUACCCUCGUCUUCCUCCCUUCCUGUGCAAAAUUGCUAUAAAGAGAGCUUACUUGUACUCAUCCCUCACUUGUUCCCCUCCCCUUUCGUGAUGUGGCUGAUUUAGUCUGAAAAAAUCUGUGAAGGAAACCUUGAACAAACAGUCCAUCAGGAGAAAGGCUGCCCUGCGUGCCCUCUGCAGGGCCAGUGCCCACUCCGCUGCCUCCCAGUGUGUGGGCAAGGACAGUGUAGAGUCUCUCAUAGCACGGGGGCUCUCCUAGGCUUUACUCUAUCUAAUGUUUAAAGAAAAGUACCAUAUUAAGCCAGUUUGCUAAGAGCUGUUAAAGAGCAUAAAGAUGUUUGGGUUUGACUGCAGACCUCUGUCAGUGAGACCAUGCGAGUUCCUGGGUCUCUCCUCUCCCAGAGAACCAGUUCUAAAGCAGUGACAACCCCAGCUACUCCACUGAAGUGCAACACUCACCAGCAAUCCUCACUUCCCCAGAUUCCAUCUUUUCCAGAGGUAAAACAAUGGUAUCAAAGUGGACAGAGAAGCUGGAUUCAGAGGUUUUUCUGGACCUGACUGAUGACUGGGAAUGUAUAAAUGGCAGCACAGAUAGGGAGGCCACCCGGAUUUAGGGGACGAAAGAGCUGGCAGUUUGCUUUGGAUUUCACUCAGGUGAAAGAAAAACAUAGCACUGGGAGAGGGAUCUCCAGGACCUGGAAGCGUGGAUCCACACCUGGAAAGCAGCCCCUGCUACCAACAGCUGCUGAGAUCUAGUCACACACCAUACCCUGGGCAGAGGCUCAUGGCCUUGCUUGCACACAGAGACUUUUAGGUUUCAUGCACAGUGUUACAGCUCACUUCCAAAGAGCUGAUGCACUUCACGAGUUAAAAAACGAAACAACAUAAAUUCCCAGGGUGGAGCUGCUUAUAUGAAAUUUGUACGAAAAUACAAACAUCCAAAAUAAGGGGUGGGCAGUUCCUUGUUAAAGCGCUGACCCCAAACAAGCUUUCAUUCUGCUCAUCAUUUAUUAAAGAACAGAAAAUAGUAUUUCUGCCAACUGUUUUUGAGGAGAGGCUAUUUAGAAUAAAGCAAGAUGUGGAAAGAUUCAUAGAAAUUACUUUUCAUGUGAUUAUUAAAAGCAAAUCAAUUGCAAACCAGCUCUUUUCAGUUCCUCUUAAGAUGUAUUUUACACCAAACCCAUUGUUAGUUUAAAAAACACAGCAACAAAUACACACACAUGCAACGGGAUAGCCUCUAGCUUUCUAAGAGCAUCUGGUUCACACACAAACUUCAGACAACAGCUGUGUUUUCAGUUGCCUCCUAAUGUGUCACACAUCCAUGGGGCUGUUGGUUCGUCAGUCUGUUAUUUUCUUAAUGAUUUUGACAUUUGUGCCGGUCACUUCCAGCCCAAGGAAUGUUUUCCACAUUGGUGGCAUGUCCCUGCACUCCCAAAACAGGCAGAAAAGGUUCUCAUUGGUUUCGGUGGUACAGAAUCAGGCCGUUAGACCACACAAAGUCUUUUAUAAAGAGUGUUUCCCUGCCAUAUAUUUUCCCAACUAAAUAAAUACACAUGCCAGCCUUAUAGUACUGCGCAGUUCUGUAUCUAAGUGGCACAGCCUGAAUAUAUGGAGAUUUACUUGCAAAUUAAGAUGAAACCUUACAAGCCUUUUAUGGCUGUCUGAAUCAAUUUGCCGGUGUGAACACAUCCAUGUUCUGUUUUAAAAACUGGUACUUCAUAUUAAGUGUAAUUUCUGCUCACUAAACAGGGACAGUUUAACGGCAUCUCUCUUCCUCACAAUCGGUUUUUACUGUAUAAGCUAUUACUCCUUUGCACUGUUAUGUCAGCAAGACACCCAGAGGAAGGAGGCAAUGCAAGUCAUGUGCCAGUUCCUGCAUAAUUAAAUAAAGCUGCCUGUGAUAUACAUGGGUGCACACAGGAGACAAAUAAACAUUAGAUAAGGUCUAAGAUUCACUCAUUUAGUGUCCCAAGAGUAGCGUCUCACACGUUCCAUUUGAUACCUAACAGUUGGAAGUAGGAAUUAGGUUCUGCAGAUAGAAGUAAGAGCGUGGCUGUAAUUCUCGCCAGAGGCAGAACAAAAUAUUCCAGACUUCCCUCAGUAAACACCUUCCACCACAUAAUAUACCAAAACUCACGCAAAUAUUAUUUCCUGGCUUUAUUUUCCCUCCAACAACAUUAGAAACAACAAAGAGAUCGUUCUGUUUCAGCCUAAUAUUAACUUUUGCCUACCGACUAUUGCUCAAAGAGCCACAGGCUACCAAGGGGAUAUGAACAACAUAAUUUUUUCUUAAACAUGUUCCCAUUUUGCUUGAAACAGAACAAAACAAUUGAUUUGGA
ensembl:lncRNA